rnacentral:rRNA from 1 species
GAUGAACGCUGGCGGCGUGCCUAAUACAUGCAAGUCGAGCGAACAGACGAGGAGCUUGCUCCUCUGACGUUAGCGGCGGACGGGUGAGUAACACGUGGAUAACCUACCUAUAAGACUGGGAUAACUUCGGGAAACCGGAGCUAAUACCGGAUAAUAUAUUGAACCGCAUGGUUCAAUAGUGAAAGACGGUUUUGCUGUAACUUAUAGAUGGAUCCGCGCCGCAUUAGCUAGUUGGUAAGGUAACGGCUUACCAAGGCGACGAUGCGUAGCCGACCUGAGAGGGUGAUCGGCCACACUGGAACUGAGACACGGUCCAGACUCCUACGGGAGGCAGCAGUAGGGAAUCUUCCGCAAUGGGCGAAAGCCUGACGGAGCAACGCCGCGUGAGUGAUGAAGGUCUUCGGAUCGUAAAACUCUGUUAUUAGGGAAGAACAAAUGUGUAAGUAGCUAUGCACGUCUUGACGGUACCUAAUCAGAAAGCCACGGCUAACUACGUG